GUAGUCCAACAAUUAGGAUUAUUGCCUUUCAAGCUAUAGACCUGGGUUCGACUCCUGGC
rfam:Cajanus cajan CcLG10_319, whole genome shotgun sequence.